ACGUAACACUUUCGACCUGAGAUUAGAUAAGAUUACCCGCCGAAUUUAAGCAUAUUAAUAAGCGGAGGAAAAGAAAACAACUGUGAUUCCCUUAGUAAUGGCGAAUGAAACGGGAAGAGCCCAUCGCGUAACUGCAGGUCAGCUUGGCCUCGCGGGAUGUCGCGUUCGGGAGAGUCUCAUCGGGAGCCGGACGGCCAGUCAAAGUCCAACUUGACAGUCGCCAUUGCCCAUAGAGGGUGAUAGGCCCGUAAGGCGGCCGUCUGUUUCCGCUGACUUUUCCCUAGAGUCGGGUUGCUUGGGAGUGCAGCCCAAAGUGCGAGGUAAACUCCUCGUAAGGCUAAAUAUGACCCAGAGACCGAUAGCAAACAAGUACCGUGAGGGAAGAUUGAAAAGAACUUUGAAGAGAGAGUUCAAUAGUACGUGAAACUGUGUGGUGGUAAACGGAGGGGUUCUCGAAGUCUCUGUGGGGAACUCAACCUUGGUGUCGGGCGGUCUGGGCGUGUCCGAUCAGCAAUGACGGCGCGUUCUCUCCGGCUUGGCUCUCGGGUGCAUUUCCCCCGCAGUUUACGGCAGGAACCGUUUGGCUCGGACCGAAGGCCUCGGGUGAAGUUGUCGCUUAUGGUGGCAGCCCUGGGUGUCCUGGCUCUGCGCCGACGGGUACGUGAGAGGACUCGUAUAGCGAGCAACGCUCUGUGCGGUCUC
rnacentral:rRNA from 1 species